UGCGUAGGCGGAAUAUUAAGUCAGUGGUGAAAUCCUGCAGCUUAACUGUAGAACAGCCAUUGAUACUGUUAUUCUUGAAUUUAGUUGAGGUGGGCGGAACGUGUAAUGUAGCGGUGAAAUGCUUAGAUAUUACACAGAACACCGAUUGCGAAGGCAGCUCACUAAACUAACAUUGACGCUGAGGCACGAAAGCGUGGGUAGCGAACAGGAUUAGAUACCCUGGUAGUCC
rnacentral:rRNA from 1 species